rnacentral:rRNA from 1 species
UAGCAUUGCGGCUGCUUUAACAUGCAAGUCGAGCGGCAGCGCGGGCUUCGGCCUGGCGGCGAGUGGCGAACGGGUGAGUAAUGCAUCGGAACGUGCCCAGUAGUGGGGGAUAGCCCGGCGAAAGCCGGAUUAAUACCGCAUACGACCUGAGGGUGAAAGCGGGGGACCGAAAGGCCUCGCGCUAUUGGAGCGGCCGAUGUCGGAUUAGCUAGUUGGUGGGGUAAAGGCUUACCAAGGCGACGAUCCGUAGCUGGUCUGAGAGGACGACCAGCCACACUGGGACUGAGACACGGCCCAGACUCCUACGGGAGGCAGCAGUGGGGAAUUUUGGACAAUGGGGGCAACCCUGAUCCAGCCAUGCCGCGUGCGGGAAGAAGGCCUUCGGGUUGUAAACCGCUUUUGUUCGGGAAGAAAUCCUCUGGGCUAAUACCCCGGGGGGAUGACGGUACCGGAAGAAUAAGCACCGGCUAACUACGUGCCAGCAGCCGCGGUAAUACGUAGGGUGCGAGCGUUAAUCGGAAUUACUGGGCGUAAAGCGUGCGCAGGCGGUUGUGCAAGAC